rnacentral:piRNA from 1 species
UGCUACUGCAAUAAAUAUUCUGUUUUUCA